rnacentral:rRNA from 1 species
GUAGCGAACAGGAUUAGAUACCCUGGUAGUCCAUGCCGUAAACGAUGAUUACUAAGUGUUGGAGGGUUUCCGCCCUUCAGUGCUGCAGCUAACGCAUUAAGUAAUCCGCCUGGGGAGUACGACCGCAAGGUUGAAACUCAAAAGAAUUGACGGGGGCCCGCACAAGCGGUGGAGCAUGUGGUUUAAUUCGAAGCUACGCGAAGAACCUUACCAGGUCUUGACAUCUUCUGACAGUCUAAGAGAUUAGAGGUUCCCUUCGGGGACAGAAUGACAGGUGGUGCAUGGUUGUCGUCAGCUCGUGUCGUGAGAUGUUGGGUUAAGUCCCGCAACGAGCGCAACCCUUAUUACUAGUUGCCAGCAUUAAGUUGGGCACUCUAGUGAGACUGCCGGUGACAAACCGGAGGAAGGUGGGGACGACGUCAAAUCAUCAUGCCCCUUAUGACCUGGGCUACACACGUGCUACAAUGGAUGGUACAACGAGUCGCGAGACCGCGAGGUUAAGCUAAUCUCUUAAAACCAUUCUCAGUUCGGACUGUAGGCUGCAACUCGCCUACACGAAGUCGGAAUCGCUAGUAAUCGCGGAUCAGCAUGCCGCGGUGAAUACGUUCCCGGGCCUUGUACACACCGCCCGUCACACCAUGAGAGUUUGUAAACAC